rnacentral:sRNA from 1 species
CUGUCCCUGUCUGCUGCUGAGAUGGUUAGUUGGAAGUUGGAUACACAGGUCACACCUCAUUUUUAGCAAACCCUGGUCCAGCCACACCCUUGGCCACGUCUCAGAGCUGCCUGUAUAGAGCAUUUUUCAGAUCCCCAAGGGAUGGUGCCUUUUUGCUUAAUGGUCUCUGCCUCACUGAUUGUCUCCCUCUUGCAUUCUGCUAUAAGUAGCAAGGAGAAGCCAGGUGGCACCUUCCACACUGCUUGGAAAUCUCAGCUUGAUAUCCAGGCUCAUCAGCUGCAGGCCCCACUUUGCACCCAACAGCAGAGCAGCAGCCAGCCAAGCUCUCUGCUGCCUCCUCCGGUUUCCAGUAGCACAGUCAUUUCCGCCUGAGACCUCACUGGAAGCACCUGUUGGGUCGGCAUUGCUGCUGACAUCCAGCCUGUGAUGCCGUGUGUACUCUCCAAGACGGCAGCAGCUCUCCUCUCCCAGCCGUUUCCAGGCUUGUCUUCAUGCCUUUACUACCGUUGUCUUCAUGCCUUUACUACCGACAGCCGCGCAGGCCCCUCACCACAGUUCUUCCAGCCUCUCCCCGUCACCCGCUUCCAAAGCUGCUGCCACAGUUCUUGGUGUUAGGUUUCGGCAGCACCCUUCCUGGUACCAAAAUCUGUUCAUUUCUUGUGGCUGCUGUGACAAAGUGUCACAAACUGGGUGGCUUAAAAACCAGAAAUUGUCUUAGUUCUGGAGGCUGGAAGUCCAAGAUGAAGGUAUUGGCAGCCCCAUUCCCUCUGAAACCUCUUAGAGACCUCUGUUGCCCCCCAGCUUCUGGUGUUUGCCACAGCCCUUGGUGUUUCUUGGCUUGUGGUCGCGAUGCUACAGGUGGCCUCUGUCUUCGUGUGGCCCCCUCCCCGCCUGCCUCUGUCUUCCUAUCUUUCCUUUUCUUAGAAGGACUCCCAGUCAAUUGGAUUAGGGUACACCCCUCUCCAGUGUGACCUCAGUUACAUCUGCAUCAACCCUGUUUGCCAAUAUGGCCACAUUUCCAAGCACUGGGGGUCAGGAGGCUGAUGUAGCCUUUUCAGGACACACCUUAUGAUGCUGGCCCCAUUGCCGUUCCAUGGUGGCUGAGCAGGUGGGGACCCCACCCAGUCCUGUGCUCUCGCUGCUCACCUGCCUGCCAGGGCCAGGUGGGGCAGGUGGCUCUGGGAGCCCCUUUCUCACUGGGUACCAGGUGGCAGAGUCCAUGGGCCUGAGUCCCCUGCAGCCAAGCUGCCCAUGCUGACACUAGCCCUCCUUAGGCCAUGCGGACCCUCAGUUGGAAGCACACCCUGGGCCUGGUGACCAUGGACGUGGAGCUGGCCGACCGCACGCUGUCUGUGGCGGUCACCCCGGUACAGGCGGUGAUCUUGCUGUAUUUUCAGGACCAAGCCAGCUGGACCCUGGAGGAACUGAGCAAGGCGGUGAAAAUGCCCGUGGCGCUGCUGCGGCGGCGGAUGUCCGUGUGGCUGCAGCAGGGUGUGCUGCGCGAGGAGCCCCCUGGCACCUUCUCUGUCAUUGAGGAGGAGCGGCCUCAGGACCGGGACAACAUGGUGCUCAUCGACAGUGACGACGAGAGUGACUCCGGCAUGGCCUCCCAGGCUGACCAGAAGGAGGAGGAGCUGCUGCUCUUCUGGACAUACAUCCAGGCCAUGCUGACCAACCUGGAGAGUCUCUCGCUGGAUCGCAUCUACAACAUGCUCCGCAUGUUUGUGGUGACUGGGCCUGCACUGGCCGAGAUUGACCUGCAGGAGCUGCAGGGCUACCUGCAGAAGAAGGUGCGGGACCAGCAGCUCGUCUACUCGGCCGGUGUCUACCGCCUGCCCAAGAACUGCAGCUGACACACCCGCCUGCCCGCCCGCCCGCCAGGCGCUGCCCUGCAGGUGCUCUUGUCCUCCCAUGCCAGCCCCCGCCCGCCUGUGUCCCAGAAUGCACUGCUCAGGAGCACGCCCACCCCCACCCCCACAGUGUGCAGAUUAAAGCAAGUCAGAUCGUC